UACAGAGGUCCCAAGCGUUGUUCGGAUUCACUGGGCUUAAAGCGUGUGUAGGUGGAUGCCUAAGUACCUUGUGAAAUCCCACGGCUUAACCGUGGAACUGCUUGGUAUACUGGGUGUCUUGAGUCACUCAGGGGCGAGCGGAACAAAUGGUGGAGCGGUGAAAUGCGUAGAUAUCGGGAGGAACACCGGUGGCGAAGGCGGUUCUCUGGGCCUUACCUGACGCUGAGGAGCGAAAGCGUGGGGAGCGAACAGG
rnacentral:rRNA from 1 species